rnacentral:lncRNA from 1 species
ACAGCAGCUGAUGAAUCAAACCCAUACGAGGCAGGCUUCCUCACUGGGGAGGAUGAGAGAUUAGAUGGGUAGCUUGAACGAAGUUGGUUCAUAUUUUGACGAAUCUGAAGUCCAGUAGGGGACUGUAACUGAGUUGGAGUAGAAGGUUUUAAUGACAUUCCCUGCAGUGGAGACAGCAAAGAAGGAUCAAGAGAUCCAAAAACAUCAUCAAGGUUUUUAGGUUUCAAAUCUCCAAUUCUGUUGAAGUCCUUGCUCCAACAAGAUGGAGAGGACAGACUUGAUAUCUCAUCCAUCAAUUGUUGUUGCUGCAGUUGGUUGGCGUGAUUUUCUAGCCCAAGCAAUUCCAUCUCCAGAUCCAAAUCUCUAGC